rnacentral:misc_RNA from 1 species
GUGAAUUGAAUAUGUUAGCGGACCUCUUCGGAGUCCCUAGCAUCAAAUCAUAUCCAUAACACCUGUGAACUGUAAGGCUGUCUUGAAAACGAAAGUGAUUAGAGCGCCAUGCCCCAUUUUAUACAACACAUAAAGUAACAAACGUAGUCUUAUUAUAAUCUAAUA